rnacentral:rRNA from 1 species
ACGGCGAGUGAACAGGGAGAAGCCCAGCGUUGAAUUCUAUGAUCAUUCUAUGAUCAUUUGGAACCUGUAGCGUAUAGGUGUGGCCGCUUGAUGGUUCUUUGUAUACUCUAAGUCCCCUUGAGUGGGGCUACAGCCCAUUGAUGGUGCUAGGCCAGUAGGAGUAUCGGGGUUCUGUCAAAUUUCGGCUAUACUUUGGAGUCGAGUUGCCUGGGAUCGCAGCUCAAAGUGGGUGGUAAACUUCAUCUAAGGCUAAAUAUUACUACGAGACCGAUAGCCAACAAGUACCGUGAGGGAAAGUUG